rnacentral:rRNA from 1 species
UACGUAGGCAGCAAGCGUUGUUCGGAAUUAUUGGGCGUAAAGGGCUCGUAGGCGGCCAACUAAGUCGGAUGUGAAAUCCCCAGGCUUAACCUGGGAACUGCAUCCGAUACUGGAUGGCUUGAAUCCGGGAGAGGGAUGCGGAAUUCCAGGUGUAGCGGUGAAAUGCGUAGAUAUCUGGAGGAACACCGGUGGCGAAGGCGGCAUCCUGGACCAUUACUGACGCUGAGGAGCGAAAGCCAGGGGAGCAAACGGG